UACGGAGGGGCUAGCGUUAUUCGGAAUUACUGGGCGUAAAGCGCACGUAGGCGGCUUUGUAAGUCAGAGGUGAAAGCCUGGAGCUCAACUCCAGAACUGCCUUUGAGACUGCAUCGCUUGAAUCCAGGAGAGGUGAGUGGAAUUCCGAGUGUAGAGGUGAAAUUCGUAGAUAUUCGGAAGAACACCAGUGGCGAAGGCGGCUCACUGGACUGGUAUUGACGCUGAGGUGCGAAAGCGUGGGGAGCAAACAGGG
rnacentral:rRNA from 1 species